GUUAUGAUUUUGUAAACAAUAAAUUUCCCAAGCAAUUGUCACUAUAUUUACUGAGGUUAUCUGUCAGAUUGUUAAUCGAAAAUGAGGAUAAUUUCUUUUCGAAAUUUAUACACUUUAUUAUUUUUAAGAUGAAAUUUGUACACUAUUUUUAUACGUAUAUUUUGAUUUUUAUAUUAACCAAAUCUAAAUGGUUCGUUCUCGGGACAUCUAAUUUUGAAUUUGGUGAAUUGAAAUAUUUAUCAGAAAAAUUACAACCUAUGGAGUGUUUUAAACUUCUUGAUGUGAUUUAUGAAAAAAUCGUCUCAGAAAAAUCUAUUGUACUUGAAAAACUUCAAGAGGAGAUAAAAAGUAUUUUGAAAAAAUCAUGGUCUACGGACAAAAGUUGCUUUUCUCAUUUGCUAAAGUGGCAAAACAGUUUUCCUGAAGAUGGAAAUAUUGAAGGACGUAAAUUAAUGGAAGAUGUAUUAUUAUCUUUGGGAAGAUCUGAUUUAGUGAAAUAUUUGAGAAAAACUCAAAGAGGACAUUUUAUCAAACAUUUAAAGAGAUUUGAAAAGUUAAUGGAAAAUAAUGAUUACAAUGAAGCGAAACGAUAUGAAGCCGUGAAUGACGAAGAAAUGAAUCAAAGUAAAUAUCAAAACGGAAACGGUCACGAGAAAAAUAAUCUAUAUCAGAAAUUCGAUUUAGAUGGAAUUGAUAGCAACCAUGCGCCUCCAACUCAAGCCGUUAUGAGCGGAGAGACUUUUAAUGAAAAUGAUUACGAAAAUAGAAAUAAAGACGUAAUUAGAGGGAAAACAAGAGAGAAGAACUUUGACGUUUACUGGAUUAUUCUUAUCACUGUUAUUGCUCUAGUAAUCAUGUCCAUUUGUGGAAGUGGAAUUUUUUUCAUCUACAGAAAAAAUUGCGAUCGAUUUGUCAAGGGUCGUUUAUGUCAAGAAUGGGCCUUAAGUAAAGAAAAGCAGAAUAUUAACGUAUGUUGCUGUGGUAAGCGAAGAGAAACAAGUAGAAGGGCUUAUUCGAAUGUAGACUGCAUGGAAAGUGGAUGGUCCAGAAAAUGCUCAAAGUGCUGUUUGGAUUCAAAGGGAGACGAUAACAAUGAAAAGUCACGUUUGAUGAAAGAAACGGCGUGCGUGCAAAAAUGCAAAAAAUUGAGAAAGAAGAAAACACAUUCAAAAACGAGAGAGAAAUGCCAGAAGAAAGAGGCAAAGAAAGUAGCGAGAAACAAGUGUCUCGAGAAGGAAAUGAAAAUACGAAAGUGUCAGAGAAGUGCCAUUAGUGAACCAUCACGUACUGAUUAUAAGGAAAUGCAAAAUAAAAUUGUCACCGUGCCAAAAAAUAACUACAACCAUUAUCAGUGUAACUGCACCAGUGAAGAAACAGAGUUUAUUAUAGCGACCAAAAAAGGGAAGAAAAAAAAGAAAAGUGGUUGGACAUCGCCGCAAUUGAAGGAAAAGAGAAUAAAGGGAUCGAAAAACGCAGAGAAAUUGUUUCAAUACGACUCAAGUAGUCCUUGCUCUAGAAAAACCUGCGAGUGGAGAAAAAUAGCCAAGGGAAAGAGACACGGGAAAAAUAGCGUGUAAAUUUAAUUACUACUUGGAAAAUUGCACAAUUUUGUUAUCCUCCGAAAAACUAGUAAUUGGUAAAUUCUCUCUGAAAAUUCUGAGACUAUAAUCGUUGCACUCAAAAGGAUGAGAAUACUCCGACAUCUAGAUUAAGUCUCUCGGUCAAGGUUGAGGGUCAAAAGAUUCGUCGCAAGAAAGGGUUGAGAAAGAACAGAAAUGAAAAGACGAGUAUUGAUUAGACACUUUACAAGCCGUUCAACUGUUUCGAAGAAAAUAAAAAAAAACAAUAGAAAAAAUAAUUGAAUCACUUGAAAUUGCUCCUUACUUGGAAAAUAUGUUGGAAAAAUGUCACAAAUUUUUUCUCUAUAAACAAACGAAAAUAAAAGAAAAAAAUUGAUUAUGAACAAAUUUAGCUGAUGAUGAAAUUUUCGUACUUGUAUUUCUUCAUAAUUAUCAUCGAGGUGCCGGUAUCUUUGGCAACAUCUGUUUAGGGAAAUUUGCGAAGAACCAGACACUUGGAUAAUGGUAAAUUGAAAAACAUUGUCAGUAAGCUUGAUCCAAUAGAAUGUUUUUACCUUAUUAUCGUUUUGAC